rnacentral:misc_RNA from 1 species
GGAAGUAAAAGCCGUAACAAGGUUUCCGUAGGUGAACCUGCGGAAGGAUCAUUAACGACUGAGGGCCCUCUGGGUCCAACCUUCCAACCGUUUCUCUUUUACCUCGUUGCUUUGGCGGGACCGCCUUACGGCUGCCGGGGGGCAUCUGGGCCCCCGGCCCGCGCCCGCCGUAGACACCCACAAACUCUCUCAGAAGAAUGCAGUCUGAGUGAAUUGAUAAAUUAUUUAAAACUUUCAACAACGGAUCUCUUGGUUCCG